UACUCCCUGUUGCCGUUUUUUAUCCUUUUUGUGAUCUGUGGUGCUAUGCUAUGUUCAUCUUUUUCUUCACUCUUUACCUUUACUAUUUUGAUUUUAUCCACUCUUCUCCUCUUCAAAGUCAUAAAGAGAAAACUGAUUACCAGUACUGGUGAUGAUCUAGCAAGAGAAGAAGUUG